rnacentral:rRNA from 1 species
AGUUUGAUCCUGGCUCAGAUUGAACGCUGGCGGAAUGCUUUACACAUGCAAGUCGAACGAUGAACCUUAGCUUGCUAAGGGGAUUAGUGGCGAACGGGUGAGUAAUAUAUCGGAACGUACCUUGUAAUGGGGGAUAACUAGUCGAAAGAUUAGCUAAUACCGCAUACGCCCUGAGGGGGAAAGUAGGGGAUCUUCGGACCUUACGUUAUAAGAGCGGCCGAUAUCUGAUUAGCUAGUUGGUGGGGUAAUGGCCUACCAAGGCGACGAUCAGUAGCUGGUCUGAGAGGACGACCAGCCACACUGGAACUGAGACACGGUCCAGACUCCUACGGGAGGCAGCAGUGGGGAAUUUUGGACAAUGGGCGCAAGCCUGAUCCAGCCAUUCCGCGUGAGUGAAGAAGGCCUUCGGGUUGUAAAGCUCUUUCGCAAGGGAAGAAAACUUACAUUCUAAUAAAGUGUGAGGCUGACGGUACCUUGAUAAGAAGCACCGGCUAACUACGUGCCAGCAGCCGCGGUAAUACGUAGGGUGCGAGCGUUAAUCGGAAUUACUGGGCGUAAAGCGUGCGCAGGCGGUUUUGUAAGUCAGAUGUGAAAUCCCCGAGCUCAACUUGGGAACUGCGUUUGAAACUACAAGACUAGAAUAUGUCAGAGGGGGGUAGAAUUCCACGUGUAGCAGUGAAAUGCGUAGAGAUGUGGAGGAAUACCAAUGGCGAAGGCAGCCCCCUGGGAUAAUAUUGACGCUCAUGCACGAAAGCGUGGGGAGCAACCAGGAUUAGAUACCCUGGUAGUCCACGUCCUAAACGAUGUCUACUAGUUGUUGGUGGAGUAAAAUCCAUGAGUAACGCAGCUAACGCGUGAAGUAGACCGCNUGGGGAGUACGGUNGCAAGAUUAAAACUCAAAGGAAUUGACGGGGGCCCGCACAAGCGGUGGAUUAUGUGGAUUAAUUCGAUGCAACGCGAAAAACCUUACCUGGCCUUGACAUGCCACUAACGAAGCAGAGAUGCAUUAGGUGCUCGAAAGAGAAAGUGGACACAGGUGCUGCAUGGCUGUCGUCAGCUCGUGUCGUGAGAUGUUGGGUU